rnacentral:rRNA from 1 species
AUUGAACGCUGGCGGCAGGCCUAACACAUGCAAGUCGAGCGGGGUUUUCGGACCUAGCGGCGGACGGGUGAGUAAUGCGUAGGAAGCUGCCCGAUAGAGGGGGAUACCAGUUGGAAACGACUGUUAAUACCGCAUAAUGUCUACGGACCAAAGUGUGGGACCUUCGGGCCACAUGCUAUCGGAUGCGCCUACGUGGGAUUAGCUAGUUGGUGAGGUAAUGGCUCACCAAGGCGACGAUCUCUAGCUGGUUUGAGAGGAUGAUCAGCCACACUGGAACUGAGACACGGUCCAGACUCCUACGGGAGGCAGCAGUGGGGAAUAUUGGACAAUGGGCGCAAGCCUGAUCCAGCCAUGCCGCGUGUGUGAAGAAGGCCUUCGGGUUGUAAAGCACUUUCAGCGAGGAGGAAGGGGUGUGUGUUAAUAGUACACACCUUUGACGUUACUCGCAGAAGAAGCACCGGCUAACUACGUGCCAGCCGCCGCUGUAAUAC